UACAGAGGUCCCAAGCGUUGUUCGGAUUCAUUGGGCGUAAAGGGUGUGUAGGUGGCGCCGUAAGUCGGGUGUGAAAUUUCGGAGCUUAACUCCGAAACUGCAUUCGAUACUGCGGUGCUUGAGGACUGGAGAGGAGACUGGAAUUCAUGGUGUAGCAGUGAAAUGUGUAGAGAUCGGGAGGAACACCGGUGGCGAAGGCGGGUCUCUGGGCAUCUCCUGACGCUGAGGCGCGAAAGCGUGGGGAGCAAACGGG
rnacentral:rRNA from 1 species